ensembl:lncRNA
ACUUCAUGGAGCAACGUGAUAACUGGUACAACUGCAGAGAACUAAUUGAAGAUAUAGAAACGAAUAGAAAACAAUCUAAAAAGAUAGAAGAGUUUGUUUUAGGAGUUUGUGCAUGUACUAAAACGAUCAUUUAUAAUGAGAAAUAUUCGAAUAACUCAAUAAAAGAAUAUAAAGAGAAAAGUUUUAAAAAAGAUAAUAAGCAAAACGUGUAUCAUGAGGAAUUUAACAUCGAUUGUGAUAUGGAAAAAGAUUUUUACGAUACAUGUAUAAAUUAUAUUGAAUAUGAAGAUAUAUGUUUAUAUAACACUAUACGAACAAUAGGAUACUCAAUGUAUUGUUAUAAAAACAAUAUAUUUUUUUAUAAUUUAAAAAAAAAAAGCUAAAAAAUAUUAUUUGAUUGGUUUUCAUGACUUUUUAAGUAGUAAUAAAUUUAUUAUGUGUAUAUUAAAAAAAAAAAAAAAAAUCAAAAGAUGAUGGUGGUAUAUUAUAUGUUCGUGGGUAUGAUUAUAAUAUGCUUCCAAAUUUAUCAAAAACAAAAAAUAAUAUGAAUAAAUUAAAAAAAAUUAUAAAAAUAUAUACAUUGAAUUAUUUAAAGGUUUUAUUAAUUUGUAAAAAAGUAAUAACUAAUGAAGAAAUAGGUAAAUAUCUUGUCUUAAAAAAUAUGAAUAAUAAAACAACUCUUAAUAUGUAUGAUACGAUGAAAUUAUUUUUUUUAUAUGACCUAAAAGUUGUUGGAAUUGUAGGAUUAAAAAGUACAUUAAAUGAUGGAGUGAAAGAAACAUUUCAAGAUAUAAUCAAAUUUGAUAUUAGGUCAUGGAUAUUUACAAAUGAUAAUCCUAAAGAUACAUAUUUGACAGCACUACAAUGUAACUUAAUACCAUCUAAUUCAAAUUUUUUUUUUAAUUAACUUUUUUUCUUCAUCAGACAAUCUUAAACAAAUGACUGAAAAUUUAUUUUAUAAUUUUAUUUUUUCAAUGAAAAAACUAAAAUCGAAUUCGUAUGCUAUUGCGAUAAAUGAUUCGAGUAUUAUAAAUAUAAUGAAUGAUGAAAACGCAAUGCGAAUAUUCCUCUCAAUAGCCAUGAAAGCAACAGUGGUUUUGUUUUGUAACUUGCAAAAUGAUAUAAAAGGAAAGAUUAUAAAAAAGUUACGUGCGUUUAGUAAACCUGAGUUAACCAUAUUAGGCAUUGGGUUGACAUUGGAUGAUGCUUCUUUGUUAAAUCAUAGUACUAUAAGUGUAUGUUUAACUUUCAAAGAACAAAUGCAUGUGUUGUAUACUAUUUCUGAUUAUGCAUUGCAAAAGUUUAAAUAUCUUAGCGAGUUGUUAAUAAUAGGUCGAAAAAAUAGAUUUACUUUAUGCAGAGCAUUUUUAUGGAUAAUUUACCUAAAAGUCGCUGUCGUAUCAUCGUCUUUUUUUCAAGCCUUUGACACCUAUUUCUCAGGAUCUGAUGUAUCAUCAAUUUUAUAUUCUCAAUCAACCCAUGCAAUAUUCCAUUACAUUUUAAUUAUAGCAUUUGCGUCUUAUGAAAAUGAGUUGCCAUAUAAGUAUUUUAAAAAUAUCCCUUAUACGUACCAAUUGGUAAUACAUAUAAAAUUUAACAACAAAAAAAAAAAAAAAAAAAAAAAAAAACUAAAAACAUUUUCGUUUAUGUCUGCUUUAUGAUGUCUAUCUUAUUUCUUUUUUUUUUUUUUUUAUGCAUACAUGCAUAGUAUAUUUA